UACGUAGGGACCGAGCGUUGUCCGGAUUCAUUGGGCGUAAAGGGCUCGUAGGCGGCCAACUAAGUCAGACGUGAAAUCCCUCAGCUUAACUGGGGAACUGCGUCUGAUACUGGAUGGCUUGGAUUCGGGAGAGGAAUGCGGAAUUCCAGGUGUAGCGGUGAAAUGCGUAGAUAUCUGGAGGAACACCGGUGGCGAAGGCGGCAUUCUGGACCGAUAUUGACGCUGAGGAGCGAAAGCCAGGGGAGCAAAGCGGG
rnacentral:rRNA from 1 species